UGUUGUUUAAUCCCUUUAAUGCAUUAGAUCUUAUCAGAAAUCCACAAUCAAACGUGUUUGGGCGAUAAUAGUACUAGAAUGGGUGACCUUUGUGAUGUCCUCGUAUUGCAACAC
rnacentral:rRNA from 1 species